rnacentral:rRNA from 1 species
UGAUAAGUCAGCGGUGAAAGUUGCAGCUUAACUGUAAAAAUGCCGUGAAACUGUCGGACUUGAGUGWAAAUGAGGUAGGCGGAAUGCGUGGKKUAGCGGUGAAAUGCAUWAGAWAUCACGCAGACUCCGAUUGCGAAGGCAGCUUACUAAGCUACAACUGACACUGAAGCACGAAAGCGUGGGGAUCAAACAGGAUUAGAUACCCUGGUAGUCCACGCAGUAAACGAUGAUUACUAGCUGUUUGCGAUACACAGUAAGCGGCACAGCGAAAGCGUUAAGUAAUCCACCUGGGGAGUACGCCGGCAACGGUGAAACUCAAAGGAAUUGACGGGGGCCCGCACAAGCGGAGGAACAUGUGGUUUAAUUCGAUGAUACGCGAGGAACCUUACCCGGGUUUGAACGUAGGGAGACAGGAGUGGAAACAUUCUAUUCAGCAAUGACUGCCUACGAGGUGCUGCAUGGUUGUCGUCAGCUCGUGCCGUGAGGUGUCGGCUUAAGUGCCAUAACGAGCGCAACCCUUAUUUCCAGUUACUAACAGGUCAAGCUGAGGACUCUAGCGAGACUGCCACCGUAAGGUGUGAGGAAGGGGGGGAUGACGUCAAAUCAGCACGGCCCUUACGUCCGGGGCGACACACGUGUUACAAUGGUAGGUACAGAGGGCAGCUACCCAGUGAUGGGGUGCGAAUCUCAAAAACCUAUCUCAGUUCGGAUUGGAGUCUGCAACUCYACUCCAUGAAGUUGGAUUCGCUAGUAAUCGCGCAUCAGCCAUGGCGCGGUGAAUACGUUCCCGGGCCUUGUACACACCGCCCGUCAAGCCAUGGAAGCCGGGGGUGCCUGAAGUUCGUGWCCGCARGGAGCGACCUAGGGCAAAACUGGUAACUGGGG